rnacentral:rRNA from 1 species
AGCGAACGCUGGCGGCAGGCCUAACACAUGCAAGUCGAACGAACUCUUCGGAGUUAGUGGCGGACGGGUGAGUAACACGUGGGAACGUGCCCUUUGGUACGGAAUAACUCAGGGAAACUUGAGCUAAUACCGUAUGUGCCCUUCGGGGGAAAGAUUUAUCGCCAUUGGAGCGGCCCGCGUCUGAUUAGCUAGUUGGUGAGGUAAAGGCUCACCAAGGCGACGAUCAGUAGCUGGUCUGAGAGGAUGAUCAGCCACAUUGGGACUGAGACACGGCCCAAACUCCUACGGGAGGCAGCAGUGGGGAAUCUUGCGCAAUGGGCGAAAGCCUGACGCAGCCACGCCGCGUGAAUGAUGAAGGUCUUAGGAUUGUAAAAUUCCUUCACCGGGGACGAUAAUGACGGUACCCGGAGAAGAAGCCCCGGCUAACUUCGUGCCAGCCGCCGCGGUAA